rnacentral:rRNA from 1 species
UACGUAGGCAGCAAGCGUUGUUCGGAGUUACUGGGCGUAAAGGGUGUGUAGGCGGUUGUUUAAGUUUGGUGUGAAAUCUCCCGGCUCAACUGGGAGGGUGCGCCGAAUACUGAAUGACUGGAGUGCGGGAGAGGAAAGUGGAAUUCCUGGUGUAGCGGUGAAAUGCGUAGAUAUCAGGAGGAACACCGGUGGUGUAGACGGCUUUCUGGACCGUAACUGACGCUGAGACACGAAAGCGUGGGUAGCAAACAGG